rnacentral:rRNA from 1 species
AGAGUUUGAUCCUGGCUCAGGAUGAACGCUAGCGGCAGGCUUAACACAUGCAAGUCGGACGGCAGCGGGAGAGGAGCUUGCUCCUCUCGCCGGCGAGUGGCGCACGGGUGAGUAACACGUAUGCAACCUGCCCCUGUCAGGGGUACAACCUUCCGAAAGGGAGGCUAAUACCGCGUAAAUUUCCGGAGGGCAUCCUCCGGGGAGGAAAGGAGAGAUCCGGACAGGGAUGGGCAUGCGGCGCAUUAGGCAGUUGGCGGGGUAACGGCCCACCAAACCGACGAUGCGUAGGGGUUCUGAGAGGAAGGUCCCCCACACUGGUACUGAGACACGGACCAGACUCCUACGGGAGGCAGCAGUGAGGAAUAUUGGUCAAUGGGCGGGAGCCUGAACCAGCCAAGCCGCGUGGAGGAAGAAGGUACAGAGUAUCGUAAACUCCUUUUGUCAGGGGAUAAAAGACGGGACGUGUCCCGUUCUGCAGGUACCUGAAGAAAAAGCAUCGGCUAACUCCGUGCCAGCAGCCGCGGUAAUACGGAGGAUGCGAGCGUUAUCCGGAUUUAUUGGGUUUAAAGGGUGCGUAGGCGGACUGAUAAGUCAGCGGUAAAAUGUCGGGGCUCAACCCCGGCCGGCCGUUGAAACUGUCAGACUAGAGUGCGCGAGAAGUAUGCGGAAUGCGUGGUGUAGCGGUGAAAUGCAUAGAUAUCACGCAGAACUCCGAUUGCGAAGGCAGCAUACCGGCGCGCAACUGACGCUGAGGCACGAAAGCGUGGGGAUCGAACAGGAUUAGAUACCCUGGUAGUCCACGCAGUAAACGAUGAAUACUGGCUGUCCGGUCUGAUUGAAGACUGGGUGGCGUAGCGAAAGCGUUAAGUAUUCCACCUGGGGAGUACGCCGGCAACGGUGAAACUCAAAGGAAUUGAC